AUGGGUGCGCACGGGACGCGUCGGGCGCGUCGGGUGCGCGCGGGACGUGCGGGACGCACUGGUGUGGUCGGGCUCAUCGGGCGCGUCGGGUGCGCGCGGGACGUGCGGGACGCACUGGUGUGGUCGGGCUCGUCGGGUGCGCGCGGGACGUGCGGGACAAACUGGUGCGGUUGGCCUUGUCGGGCACGUCGGGUGCGCGCGGGACGUCUGGGGCGCAGAGGGACGCCUGGCGUGUGUCGCCGGCGGAGAAGGAGCUCGGCGUGUGUCGCCGGAGUCGUGACGGAGCAUGGUGCGACCGACGUCGGUGCGCCAGGUCGGGUGCGCCAGGUAACGACGACAACGACGCGAGCUGCAUCAACUCCGGCGACGGCGAGCACACGACACGUCGCAGCGAUGCACGGAGAUGUCGACGGCCAGCUGUGUCAAGAUUAG
rnacentral:rRNA from 1 species